rnacentral:misc_RNA from 1 species
GAUGAAGAACGUAGUGAAAUGCGAUACGUAAUGUGAAUUGCAGAAUUCAGUGAAUCAUCGAAUCUUUGAACGCAUAUUGCGCUCUCUGGUAUUCCGGAGAGCAUGCUUGUUUGAGUAUCAGUAAACACCUCAACUCCCUUUUCUUUUUUGAAAUUGGAGCUGGACUUGAGUGAUCCCAACGCUUUCUUCCAAGAAAGUGGCGGGUUGCUUGAAAUGCAGGUGCAGCUGAACUUUUCUCUGAGCUAUAAGCAUAUCUAUUUAGUCUGCCUAAAAAACAGAUUAUUACCUUUGCUGCAGCUAACAUAAAGGAGACUAGUUCUUGUGCUGACUGAUGCAGGAUUCACAGAGACAGCUUCGGCUGACUUUGUAAACUCGAUCUCAAAUCAAGUAAGACUACCCGCUGAACUUAGGCAUAUCAAUAAGCGGAGGA